rnacentral:rRNA from 1 species
UCGCCUGUUUAUCAAAAACAUAGUUUUAUGAUUAUAUAUAAAAUAUUUUCUGCCCAGUGUCAAUAGAUAAAUGGCCGCAGUACCUUGACUGUGCUAAGGUAGCAUAAUCAAUUGGCUUUUAAUUGAAGUCUAGAAUGAACGGGAUAAUGGAAUUUAGCUGUCUUGAUUUUUUUAAUAAAAAUUUAUUUAUAAGGUGAAAUACGCCUGAAAAUCUAAAAAAGAGGAGAAGCUCAUAGGAAGUUUAAUAAUCAUAUCACAGGGGGAGCCAGAGCAAAAAUAAAUAUGUAGAACAUACAAGAUACUCAUGAUGUUUUUUAAUAAAAAUUAAAUUACCUUAGGGAUAACAGCAUUAUUAUUCAAAUAGUUUGUGACCUCGAUGUUGGACUAGGAACUAAAAGGCUAACCGUCUUUAUAGAUUUGUUCUGUUCGAACAAUUUUAUCCUACGUGAUCUGAGUUCAGACCGGA